rfam:Octopus bimaculoides Scaffold27205_contig_4, whole genome shotgun sequence.
GAAAAUAUUGGCAGUACAUACUCUAAAAUUAGAAUGAUACAAAGAUGAGCAUGGUCCCAGCGUAAGGAUGAAAUGCAAAUUCAUGAAGCUUUCCAUAUUUUU